rnacentral:rRNA from 1 species
CAGUAGCCACGGUAAUACGAAGGGGGCUAGCGUUGUUCGGAAUUACUGGGCGUAAAGCGCACGUAGGCGGAUUUUUAAGUCAGGGGUGAAAUCCCGAGGCUCAACCUCGGAACUGCCUUUGAUACUGGAGAUCUUGAGUUCGGAAGAGGUUGGUGGAACAGCUAGUGUAGAGGUGAAAUUCGUAGAUAUUAGCUAGAACACCAGUGGCGAAGGCGGCCAACUGGUCCGAUACUGACGCUGAGGUGCGAAAGCGUGGGGAGCAAACAGGAUUAGAUACCCCAGUAGUCCCUGUCUCUUAUAC